ensembl:lncRNA
CGCUCACACACACACACCUGUGUUACACGCUCACACACACACACCUGUGUUACUCCUUCCACACGCUUCGAUUCGGCUGAACCAAACGAGAGUACUCGCAUGCUCCCUUAAAAGACCUUCUCUUGAAAAACAAGAAAAAAAAGUAGCGAUGGUACUGUUUGUCCAACUUGAGACGCCGUAGCCAAUAUACACUUCCUCAAAAUAAUCAGAAUUAAUCUAAAGAUAACUCAAGAAAUCUGUCCAAAAUGUACGUUUUUGUCAAGGAGAUGCUAGUCGAACGGUUUUACACACAGCUAUCUCACACACACCUGUCUCACACACACCUGUCUCACACACACCUGUCUCACACACACCUCUCUCACACACACCUGUCUCACACAGCUAUCUCACACACAGCUAUCUCACACGCACCUAUCUCACACACACCUGUCUCACACACACCUAUCUCACACACAGCUAUCUCACACACAGCUCUCACACACACCUGUCUCACACACAGCUAUCUCACACACACACCUCUCACACACACCUGUCUCACACACAGCUCUCACACACACAGCUGUCUCACACACAGCUAUCUCACACACACCUGUCUCACACACACCUGUCUCACACACACCUGUCUUACACACAGCUAUCUCACACACACCUGUCUUACAC